rnacentral:rRNA from 1 species
UAAUACGUAGGUGGCAAGCGUUAUCCGGAUUUACUGGGUGUAAAGGGCGUGUAGGCGGGACUGCAAGUCAGAUGUGAAAUUCCAGGGCUCAACCCUGGACCUGCAUUUGAAACUGUGGUUCUUGAGUGAUGGAGAGGCAGGCGGAAUUCCCUGUGUAGCGGUGAAAUGCGUAGAUAUAGGGAGGAACACCAGUGGCGAAGGCGGCCUGCUGGACAUUAACUGACGCUGAGGCGCGAAAGCGUGGGGAGCAAACAGGAUUAGAUACCCUGGUAGUCCACGCUGUAAACGAUGGAUACUAGGUGUGGGGGGACUGACCCCUUCCGUGCCGCAGUUAACACAAUAAGUAUCCCACCUGGGGAGUACGAUCGCAAGGUUGAAACUCAAAUGAAUUGACGG